CUUCCCUGCCCAAGCCGCUGCUGCCCCUCCCCACCCCAUGAAGGCUGGGCUCCUUCCCCUGCCAGGUGUCUGAGAGACUUGGCGCCCUGCCUGCCACCGUGCCCUGCUGCUGGAGCACAUCCUGAGCACCCUGGAGCAGGAGCACGGCCACAACGUCCUUCCGCAAGCCCUGGCCACCCUGGAAGUCACACACAGUGGUCAGUGGUUGGGGCAGGAUGGAGGCGGAGGUUAUCAGGGCUUGGGUGCCUUGAUUUGGCUUGGAUCUCCCCCAGCAGGGCAAGGCCGGACCAGGUGUCUUGGGUGAGGUAGCACUGUAUGAUUUGGGUUGGGCCUCAGAGAGCCUGGGUUCUCAGGUCUGACUGUGGAGCAGCUGCAUGCAGUGCUCAGUGCGUGGCGGAAUCUGCCCAAGAGGGCUGAGCGCUGGGAAGACGCGGUGGCUGCUGCGAACAGUGGAGAGCCCUACCCCAUGGGCCCGUUUGCCUACCUCGUGCAGAGCCUGCGCAGUUUGCUAGGGGAGGGCCCUCUGGAGCACCCUGGUGCCCGCCUCCGCCUCCCAGAUGGGCCCCUGAAGACAGCAGCCAGGCGUUGCUAUGGGAAGAGGCGAGGGCUGGAGAACACGGCACAUGUCCUUAUUGCAGGUGAGCGCAGCCCGGUCGGCUGGGCACUAGGUCUGGGGCCUGCACCUAGGGGGCAGAACCAGCCACGGGUGCCCCUGUCUGUGACCACAACCUGUGCCACUUCAGGGGGGCAUGACCCUGCUGCAGCCCAAGGGAUGUGAGCUUCAGGAUGCUGCAGGGCUGAGCCUUUCUCAGUGUGUGGUUUUGGUGGAGUGUUUGUUUGUUUGCUGUUUUGAGACAGGGUCUUGCUGUGUAGUUCAGGCUGGCCUGGAAGUCACUGUGAAGCCCAGGCUGCUGUCAAACUUGUGGUGAUCCCCCUGUGUCCACCUGGAAGUGCUGGCUUACGGGUGUGUGCCCCUAAGCCUGGCACUCGGUUCCUUUCUUACAGCUCUGCUCUGGAAGACAUGCGACCCCGACGCUUCAGGCUCCUUCCAACAGUGUCCUCCAGAGGCCCUGGGAGACCUGCCUUACCACCUGGUCAGCCCCCAGAUCCCACAGGCACCUUUCCCAAGCAACUUCAUGGCGAUUCUUACUCUUCUGCGGUACUAGGGAUUUCGCCCAGGCCCUGCACUGGGGUGCAUACCUAGCCCUUUGUUUUUAUUUUGAGACAGUCUCAUUAAGUCCCUAAGUUGCCCAUGCUGGGCUCGAACUUGCCAUCCUCGAGCCUCAGCCUCCCAGAGCGCUGGGAUUACUGGCGUGUGGCGCCAUGCCUGGUUUCUUGGGCUGUUCUUAGAUCUCUCUGCCCUGCCCACUACCGCUAUGACCACGGCCAUUUCCCUCUCUCCCAAGCUCCCUUCGCCUUUUCCCUUUCCUUUCCCUGUCCUCCUUGAGGUCCUCUGUCUCACAAGUGGGUGCAGGUCCCGGCCGCAGAGGCAGGGUCUGGGGGUAGACGGCACCUCCUCCCAUCGGCUCCUCACCACCUCUUCCCACCGCUAAUGAGGACCCCUGACCUGCUCAGCUCCAGAGUGGGAACUGUGGCCCUCUGGCGAAGUUCUUCAGCAGUCUGCACGUGGUGGCCGCACACCUGGACGUGGGCCUGCUCCCCCAGCUCUUGGAGGCGCAUGCCCUCUAUGGUGAGAUGAGACCGAGGACGGUUUCUUCUGUGAGACACCAGCUCCUGAGUGUGCUCCCGAAAACCCUGCUGGGCGGGAGGAGGAGCAGGAAAAACCAGCCGGGUUUUCUCCCCCAGUUUGAACGUGCUGGGAGGGUGAGCAGGUGAUUCCCUGGAGACCUUUUGCGGAGACCUCUUGGGUCACAAGUUCUGACUUUAGUCAGUGGGCAGAAAAAUCAUCUAGGAAAUGUUCAAAUUGCAGAUGCUGAGAGCCCGCUACUUCUGCGCCAGCAGGCGGCCAACCAGCCUGUAGACUCACCUGUCUGCUGCCAGGCUCCACUGCUCUCCCAGCGAGGGCACCUCCCGCGCAUGCUGCGAUGGCUCAAUAAGCCCCAGAGUGUGCGGGCUCAGCAGAGGUGAGACCUGUGACCGCAGGCCCUGGAAGCUCGCCCACAGAAGGGCUGUGGCCCUUCUGAAACCAGAAGGAAAGGACGGACCCCAUCACCGUUGAGAGGGGGAUUCCGCUACAGAGGGGCAGAAGUACAUUUCCAGUUGCUUUCUUCUCCUAACUGC
ensembl:lincRNA